GUGGGUAACCUGCCCAUAAGACUGGGAUAACUCCGGGAAACCGGGGCUAAUACCGGAUAACAUUUUGAACUGCAUGGUUCGAAAUUGAAAGGCGGCUUCGGCUGUCACUUAUGGAUGGACCCGCGUCGCAUUAGCUAGUUGGUGAGGUAACGGCUCACCAAGGCAACGAUGCGUAGCCGACCUGAGAGGGUGAUCGGCCACACUGGGACUGAGACACGGCCCAGACUCCUACGGGAGGCAGCAGUAGGGAAUCUUCCGCAAUGGACGAAAGUCUGACGGAGCAACGCCGCGUGAGUGAUGAAGGCUUUCGGGUCGUAAAACUCUGUUGUUAGGGAAGAACAAGUGCUAGUUGAAUAAGCUGGCACCCUUGACGGUACCUAACCAGAAAGCCACGGCUAACUACGUGCCAGCAGCCGCGGUAAUACGUAGUGGCAAGCGUUAUC
rnacentral:rRNA from 1 species